CAGUAGCCGCGGUAAUACGGAGGGUGCAAGCGUUAAUCGGAAUUACUGGGCGUAAAGCGCACGCAGGCGGUCUGUCAAGUCAGAUGUGAAAUCCCCGGGCUUAACCUGGGAACUGCAUUUGAAACUGGCAGGCUAGAGUCUUGUAGAGGGGGGUAGAAUUCCAGGUGUAGCGGUGAAAUGCGUAGAGAUCUGGAGGAAUACCGAUGGCGAAGGCAGCCAUCUGGCCUAAUACUGACGCUGAGGUACGAAAGCAUGGGGAGCAAACAGGAUUAGAUACCCCGGUAGUCCCUGUCUCUUAUAA
rnacentral:rRNA from 1 species